AAAUGCAGGGUCAUGGGGAUAGGGUAGAGGACUGGAUCUGUGUGGUCCAAAUGGCCUUUUUUCACACUGUAGGGAUUAGAGUCAACCACAUCAAAACAGACCAUUUGUUCAUUCAUAUCACUGGCAUUUGUGGGAGCAAACGUUAGAUUUUGCAUUUAGCCUAAGACAGUUUCACUCUCAUUAAGUGUGUCUACCUCAGGCAUUUCUGUCCACUCUCAUGGAUUAGCUGGGCAUGCAGCCUCCUCCCUACUUCUGGAGUGGAGAGUAGACAGAGGAAAUCCCUUCCUCAAUUUCUUUUCCUGUGGGGAAAGGCUUGGUCUUCACUUGCUAUUCCUAAAUUACCACAUCCAAGAACGGAUAGCGUAGUUGCCCAAAACAUCUGUUCACCAUGGUGUCUCAGUUAAUUACAUAUGGAAUCAUGCAAACUGUUGUUAGUUCAGAGAAUUCUCUACUGGAAACAGUUGUGAAAAUAGAAUGGCUGAAUAAAUGGGAGGCAAAAAUUUCCAAAGGGUAUGAGAAACCAAUUUAGUGAUAAUGCUUUCAAAGAACUGGAAUAGGUAUGAUGGGCCAAAUUCCAUCCUCCUGCAUUAUAAAAGUCUAUGAUUUUAUAGUAAUCUAAAAGACAGCCAUUAUAUUAUCAGCAAUAAGAGGCUGAGAAGCACACUUGCUCCAUAAACUUUUACCUUUUAACUUCUUAGAAAGCUGGACCCAUUUGGUUAACCAUUCUUUACACUCUGCUGCGUUCAGUUGCACUGAGUUCAAGCCUCUUACAUAACAUGCCUUGAAAUCAGAACCACAAAACAAUGAUCAGACUAACCAUGCUCACAGAGACAAAUGGGGAAGCAAAUAAUAUAAAGUAUAAUGAAACAUUUUUCUCCAAUUUUCAUAUAUACCUGUGUAAAAGUCAAAUCUCAGAGACCAAUGUUUUGGGCAAAAGUUUAAGAAGUCAACUUUUUAGAAAGCAGUAUUUGCAGGGUUUGCAUGCAUACUUGAUUUGGGCUGCCACAGCAUCCUGUACAUGGAUCAGCUAACUGCUUGUGGACUGUUGCUAUUAUACGGAUGAGUGUACCCUAAUGAGGGAUGGUCUGCUGCAAUUGGACAGGUUCACCUUCAGUUGUGGUUGUGCCUCCACAGGGAACGAUUGGGUGAUGUUAGCAAAGCAUCAAUUUAAGCAGCUCUUGGCGGACAAGCAGAUUCACUACCCAUUGACAUUACUGAGUGUGUGAAGGGUGGGAGUGGGUGGACAGCCGAUGGCUAUUAAUCCCUGAAAACCUAAGGUUGACUUUUAAAAGAGGUAUAUGAAAAUAACAUGUCAAGCCAAAAGUUAUGGGUUGAUUUUUGACAUGGAUAUAUAGGGUAAAUAUAGGACAAGAUUUCCUUAUCCCAGUUUAUCUCAAUGCUUUGUAACAAUGACAUUUCAUUGAACAAGAAGAGAUUCAUCAGAAGUUAACACUCUUGAAAAUAUAGAAAAAACAGCACUAUAUUCUGCUCUUGCCACCAACAGACUCAAGCCAAGCCCAGCACUGGUUUCCAAAUCUAAACUGCAAAUAGCUGAAUCUGUUCAAGACGGGCAUUCACCAAGUUCAGACAGGCUAGACUCAAACAUGAGUUCCACACAGAGCAUCUUAUGAUAAUGGUCUGUUUAUUCAGCAGAGUAACAAUUAAGUCCAUAAUGUUAGUAAUGUAGCAUUAGCAUGGCGGAGUAAUGAAAGAAAAUCCUAGCUAAUAAACGACUCUUUUAAUGACACUAUCCACGUUUACAUUCACUCUGCAUUGUGCCACCUCAGCAUAAAUUUGAAAAGGACAUGGUGGGGUAUUAUGUACAAAAUCCAUUCACUAGGUCACUAUGAAACAAGAAGGUUCAAGAUGCAAAAAAAAUAUUUAUCCCAUUCAGGCCCAUCCAACCCCACCCAAAGCCCAUGCUAUUUUCCAAGUGACAAGACAAUACAUUUUGCUUAUAAUUCAAGGUACUUCUCAUGGUCCUACAAAAACCAAUGUACACUGUUACUGCACUGGAACCUGCAUGCCAUCCUUAACAUUGUUAGUGGCCAGGAUUGUGUGAUUUUGCAAGCUGUAUUGGGAUGUUUGAUGUCUCACAACAUGCUGGCCUGACAUUAAGGAGGCCAAUGCCUCAGAAUAAUGGCCACCAUGUCACUGUGUAUAUGGAUGAUUGGUUAACGCACUUCAUUGGCAGGUCAACCAGGUCAAAAUCAAUUUCCUGUUUCUAUAUUCCUCCAACCUCACAACUUAAGAAAUCUGUGCUCCUCCAAUUCUUUCACCCCAUCAUUGGUGACUGUGCCUUCAGCCACCUAGGGCCUAAAUAGUUGAAUUCCUUCCUGAAAACCACUCUUCCUUGCCUCCUCGAAGACCUCUUUAAAAUACACCUUCUCCAAACAAAUGUUCCUUCUUUGCCUUGGCCUAUAUUUUCAUUGGAUUAAACGUCUGUUAAAGGCAUUAUAUGAAUGCAAGUUGUUGUUGAUAUGUCAGCUACACACCAUCAAUUCUUUUUUACUCACAAUCCUCAGUUCAUCCUCUGACAGGUUUUGAACACCCAAGAUAUUGAGAGCUUGGUCCAAAUGAUGAAUCUCCAUUAUAUGGCUCCGGAGGCGACGGCGCAUGAUGAAGGACGGAGGAUUAUUUUCUUCUGAAUAAGAUAAAGGAUGCCAUUACUGAAAGACAGAACGAUUGCCCCUGUGCUCAAGGAUCAGAACUCACAGCAACUCCACUUUCAACAGCCAGCUUCAAUGUAACUUAAGCCAUUAAAGAUUGUUACCAAUUGCCAAGGUGCAUGCACUGAAUGGAGAGACAAUAUUAUUGAAAUGGUACAAAAGUUCAAAGCUUUAGUCCCAAAACAUCUAUGAAUAAGGCUGGACUGACAUGAUCCAUUAUUAUAUAACUCCAGAACACAACUGAAAAAUAUUUAAAUACUCACAUCAAUACAAACACCAUAUAGUUUGCAAAUGGUGGAAGUGAUAGCAGCACUACAGGCUCCAGAGUGUUUGACUCAGACAAACAAGGUUUAAAGCAAUGACAAAUGGACAAAGUGUUUUGAACAAGUAUGACUCUGUGGAUGAAAAUGGCAUCUUAAUACCUCAGUAUCUGGAAUGGGAACAACAAAGGAAUGAACCAUUCUGCAGCACAGUGACCUUCACUUAGGAUGUGAAAAAAAGACUCCUACCUGCCUUA